CGGACGGGUGAGUAAUGCCUAGGAAUCUGCCUGGUAGUGGGGGACAACGUUUCGAAAGGAACGCUAAUACCGCAUACGUCCUACGGGAGAAGGCAGGGGACCUUCGGGCCUUGCGCUAUCAGAUGAGCCUAGGUCGGAUUAGCUAGUUGGUGAGGUAAUGGCUCACCAAGGCGACGAUCCGUAACUGGUCUGAGAGGAUGAUCAGUCACACUGGAACUGAGACACGGUCCAGACUCCUACGGGAGGCAGCAGGG
rnacentral:rRNA from 1 species